AUUGAACGCUGGCGGCAUGCUUUACACAUGCAAGUCGAACGGCAGCGCGGUCUUAGGCCUGGCUGCGAGUGGCGAACGGGGGAGUAAUGCAUCAGAACGUGCCCAGUAGGUGGGGAAAGCGCGGCGAAAACCGGGUUAAUACCGCAUACGAGGUGCUGAUGAAGGCGGGGGACCGAAAGGCCUCGCGCUAUUGGAGCAACCGAUGUCGGAUUAGCUAGUUGGUGGGGUAAAGGCUUACCAAGGCGACGAUUCGUAGCAGGUCUGAGAGGACGACCAGCCACACUGGGACUGAGACACGGCCCAGACUCCUACGGGAGGCAGCAGUGGGGAAUUUUGGACAAUGGGGGCAACCCUGAUCCAGCCAUGCCGCGUGCGUGAAGAAGGUCUUCGGGUUGUAAACCGCUUUUGUUCGGGAAGAAAUCGUCUGGGCUUAUCCGCCCGGGGGAUGACGGUACCGGAAGAAUAAGCACCGGCUAACUACGUG
rnacentral:rRNA from 1 species